CGCCAUCGUCAGCACCAUCUAUCUCCAGAACUUCUUUGUCUGUCCGUAUGGAACUCUACAGCCACUAAGCAACAACUCCCCGUUCCUCCUCCCCCAGCUCCUGUGGGCCCCACACUCAUGGAACCCAACUUGGGGCUGAACUCACAAUCCUGUGAUCAAGACCCCAGCUGGGAUCAAGAGUAGGACAACUAACCAACUAAGCCACCUAGGUGCCCCAACACCUAUUGUAUUUUACAGCAUUUUCCAAAGGUAAGAUAUUGAAGUUAUCAGGGGUUAAAUUCAAGUAACUGUAUUAAAAAUA
rnacentral:lncRNA from 1 species